CACGUAGGGGCCAAGCGUUGUCCGGAUUUAUUGGGCGUAAAGAGCUCGUAGGCGGUUGGGUAAGUCGGGUGUGAAAACUCCAGGCUUAACUCCGAAACUGCAUUCGAUACUGGCGUGCUUGAGGACUGGAGAGGAGACUGGAAUUCAUGGUGUAGCAGUGAAAUGCGUAGAGAUCAUGAGGAAGACCAGUGGCGAAGGCGGGUCUCUGGACAGUUCCUGACGCUGAGGCACGAAGGUCAGGGGAGCAAACGGG
rnacentral:rRNA from 1 species